CGGGUGAGUAACGCGUGAGGAACCUGCCUCAAAGAGGGGGACAACAGUUGGAAACGACUGCUAAUACCGCAUAAGCCCACAGCUCGGCACCGAGCAGAGGGAAAAGGAGUGAUCCGCUUUGAGAUGGCCUCGCGUCCGAUUAGCUAGUUGGUGAGGUAACGGCCCACCAAGGCGACGAUCGGUAGCCGGACUGAGAGGUUGAACGGCCACAUUGGGACUGAGACACGGCCCAG
rnacentral:rRNA from 1 species